rnacentral:rRNA from 1 species
GGGUUGUGAGGUUAAGCGACUAAGCGUACACGGUGGAUGCCCUGGCAGUCAGAGGCGAUGAAGGGCGUGCUAAUCUGCGAUAAGCGCCGGUAAGGUGAUAUGAACCGUUAUAACCGGCGAUACCCGAAUGGGGAAACCCAGUGUGAUUCGUCACACUAUCAUUAACUGAAUCCAUAGGUUAAUGAGGCGAACCGGGGGAACUGAAACAUCUAAGUACCCCGAGGAAAAGAAAUCAACCGAGAUUCCCCCAGUAGCGGCGAGCGAACGGGGAGGAGCCCAGAGCCUGAAUCAGUAUGUGUGUUAGUGGAAGCGUCUGGAAAGGCGCGCGAUACAGGGUGACAGCCCCGUACACAAAAGCGCACGUGCUGUGAGCUCGAUGAGUAGGGCGGGACACGUGGUAUCCUGUCUGAAUAUGGGGGGACCAUCCUCCAAGGCUAAAUACUCCUGACUGACCGAUAGUGAACCAGUACCGUGAGGGAAAGGCGAAAAGAACCCCGGCGAGGGGAGUGAAACAGAACCUGAAACCGUGUACGUACAAGCAGUGGGAGCCCCACCACCAAAGCGUUUCGCUUUGCGUGGUGCGCAAAAUGCGUAACGACAGCACGAUUGCGGUUAACGGAGCGUAAGCGACGUUCAACACAAGAAUCAGGCAGUGGAGCGUUUUGGGGUGGGGUGACUGCGUACCUUUUGUAUAAUGGGUCAGCGACUUAUAUUCUGUAGCAAGGUUAACCGAAUAGGGGAGCCGGAGGGAAACCGAGUCUUAAUUGGGCGUUAAGUUGCAGGGUAUAGACCCGAAACCCGGUGAUCUAGCCAUGGGCAGGUUGAAGGUUGGGUAACACUAACUGGAGGACCGAACCGACUAAUGUUGAAAAAUUAGCGGAUGACCUGUGGCUGGGGGUGAAAGGCCAAUCAAACCGGGAGAUAGCUGGUUCUCCCCGAAAGCUAUUUAGGUAGCGCCUCGUGAAUUCAUCUCCGGGGGUAGAGCACUGUUUCGGCCAGGGGGUCAUCCCG